rnacentral:rRNA from 1 species
GAGUUUGAUCGUGGCUCAGGUUGAACGCUGGCGGCAUGCCUUACACAUGCAAGUCGAACGGCAGCACGGGAGCUUGCUCCUGGUGGCGAGUGGCGAACGGGUGAGUAAUGCAUCGGAACGUAUCCUGGAGUGGGGGAUAACGUAGCGAAAGUUACGCUAAUACCGCAUAUUCUGUGAGCAGGAAAGCGGGGGACCUUCGGGCCUCGCGCUCUUGGAGCGGCCGAUGUCGGAUUAGCUAGUUGGUGAGGUAAAGGCUCACCAAGGCGACGAUCCGUAGCAGGUCUGAGAGGAUGAUCUGCCACACUGGAACUGAGACACGGUCCAGACUCCUACGGGAGGCAGCAGUGGGGAAUUUUGGACAAUGGGGGCAACCCUGAUCCAGCCAUGCCGCGUGAGUGAAGAAGGCCUCGG